GACGAACGCUGGCGGCGUGCUUAACACAUGCAAGUCGAGCGGAAAGGCUCCUUCGGGGGUACUCGAGCGGCGAACGGGUGAGUAACACGUGAGUAAUCUGCCCUUGGCUUUGGGAUAAGCCCCGGAAACGGGGUCUAAUACCGGAUAUGACCGGCCACUGCAUGGUGGUUGGUGGAAAGUUUUUUCGGCCAGGGAUGUGCUCGCGGCCUAUCAGCUUGUUGGUGGGGUAAUGGCCUACCAAGGCUUCGACGGGUAGCCGGCCUGAGAGGGUGACCGGCCACACUGGGACUGAGACACGGCCCAGACUCCUACGGGAGGCAGCAGUGGGGAAUAUUGGACAAUGGGCGGAAGCCUGAUCCAGCAACGCCGCGUGAGGGAUGACGGCC
rnacentral:rRNA from 1 species